rnacentral:rRNA from 1 species
CAUGCCGUAAACGUUGGGCACUAGGUGUGGGGGACAUUCCACGUUUUCCGCGCCGUAGCUAACGCAUUAAGUGCCCCGCCUGGGGAGUACGGCCGCAAGGCUAAAACUCAAAGGAAUUGACGGGGGCCCGCACAAGCGGCGGAGCAUGCGGAUUAAUUCGAUGCAACGCGAAGAACCUUACCAAGGCUUGACAUGUGCCAGAUCGGGCUAGAGAUAGUUCUUCCCUUUUGGGCUGGUUCACAGGUGG